UACGGGGGGGGCAAGCGUUGUUCGGAAUUACUGGGCGUAAAGGGCUCGUAGGCGGCCAACUAAGUCAGACGUGAAAUCCCUCGGCUUAACCGGGGAACUGCCUCUGAUACUGGAUGGCUUGAGAUUGGGAGAGGGAUGCGGAAUUCCAGGUGUAGCGGUGAAAUGCGUAGAUAUCUGGAGGAACACCGGUGGCGAAGGCGGCAUCCUGGACCGGCAUUGACGCUGAAUAGCGAAAGCCAGGGGAGCAAACGGG
rnacentral:rRNA from 1 species